CCUACGGGAGGCAGCAGUGGGGAAUAUUGGACAAUGGGGGGAACCCUGAUCCAGCCAUGCCGCGUGUGUGAAGAAGGCCCUCGGGUUGUAAAGCACUUUCAGUGAGGAAGAACGCCUGGUGGUUAAUACCCAUCAGGAAAGACAUCACUCACAGAAGAAGCACCGGCUAACUCCGUGCCAGCAGCCGCGGUAAUACGGAGGGUGCGAGCGUUAAUCGGAAUUACUGGGCGUAAAGUGCGCGUAGGUGGCUUGAUAAGCCGGUUGUGAAAGCCCCGGGCUCAACCUGGGAACGGCAUCCGGAACUGUCAAGCUAGAGUGCAGGAGAGGAAGGUAGAAUUCCCGGUGUAGCGGUGAAAUGCGUAGAGAUCGGGAGGAAUACCAGUGGCGAAGGCGGCCUUCUGGACUGACACUGACACUGAGGUGCGAAAGCGUGGGUAGCAAACAGGAUUAGAUACCCUGGUAGUC
rnacentral:rRNA from 1 species